CUCUUACUCCCUCCGUUUGGAAUUACUUGUCACAAAAAUGGAUGUAUCUAUAACUAAAAUACAUCUAGAUACAUUCAUUUCUUGGACGAGUAAUUCCGAACGGAGGGAGUACGUC
rfam:Triticum aestivum genome assembly, contig: Triticum_aestivum_CS42_TGACv1_scaffold_434597_5DL